CCUACGGGGGGCAGCAGUGAGGAAUAUUGGUCAAUGGGCGAGAGCCUGAACCAGCCAAGUCGCGUGAAGGAUGAAGGAUCUAUGGUUUGUAAACUUCUUUUAUAGGGGAAUAAAGUGAGGAACGUGUUCCUUUUUGUAUGUACCAUAUGAAUAAGCAUAGGCUAACUCCGUGCCAGCAGCCGCGGUAAUACGGAGGAUGCGAGCGUUAUCCGGAUUUAUUGGGUUUAAAGGGUGCGUAGGUGGUUAAUUAAGUCAGCGGUGAAAGUUUGUGGCUCAACCAUAAAAUUGCCGUUGAAACGGGUUGACUUGAGUAUAUUUGAGGUAUGCGGCAUGCGUGGUGUAGCGG
rnacentral:rRNA from 1 species